AAUAAAAAUAUAGAGAAAAAUGAUAAAAAUUAAUAAAACUUUUAAACUUCUGUUCGUCUGAGUAUUUACAAAAGGAAAAUUUAGUCUUCAUUAUUUUGCCUGUGCGUUCGAAUGAAAUUAAAUUAGUUUGAGUAGUUAAAUUAUACGCCAGAGAUAUAAAAAAAAACUAAAAAUUUUGUGUAGAAGUAAAUAAAACUCUUGUUAAGGGAAAAUAUUAAUUUUAACUUUAUUGCAACUUUGGCUCUACGGAAAAAGAUUUUUGUUUAAGUGAAUAAAAGUGUUUGGCACGUUUGGUUCAAUGUAUCAGUUGUUUAGUUUACUAAACAAAAACGUUUUGGAUACACGAGCACGAAAAGUUUGUAUAGCAAAACGUUAUUUGUGUCUGUCAGUCAUGAAGUCAGGCUCAAAAUGAGCAGCAGAAGCAAAUAACACAACAGCAAAUUACAAAAUAAUCCUUAAAUCCACACACACACACACAAACACUACUAAAACAUGCAAGGAUAUGUUGUUAUGCAUAAAACUGCCAGCAAUAAUUAUUGGAAUUCAUUGCAGUUAUUAGUUUUUUUUUUUAAGUCAAUUGAAUUAUUUUUAAGGAAAUGAUGCUGACUGCAAACUUAUUUUAAACUUUAAUGUUUUAUUUUUUUAUAUUAUUUAUAAAAAUGAUAAAAAUGUGAGAUUGUACUUUGUAAUAUCCUACAGUAAUUAAUUUGUAUUUUAACUUAAUUCUGAAAUAUUUUAACAAUGUGUUGACAAAAAACUGGAUUUUCUAAAACUAUAAUAGAGGGACUUACGUCUUCAUUUAUAUUAUUCAUGUAUUUUAGUAUUUUAUCGUAAUAUUAGAGUUUAUAAGUAAAAUAAAAUUUUUAGAUCAUUGCGAAAACUGGGAGUAUCAU